UACGGAGGGCGCAAGCGUUUUUCGGAAUCAUUGGGCGUAAAGCGCGUGUAGGCGGCCAAUUAAGUCGGAUGUGAAAGCCCGGGGCCCAACCCCGGAACUGCAUUCGAUACUGAUUGGCUGGAGUCCCGGAGAGGAAGGCGGAAUUCCCGGUGCAGAGGUGAAAUUCGUAGAUAUCGGGAGGAACAUCAGUGGCGCAGGCGGCCUUCUGGACGGUGACUGACGCUGAGACGCGAAAGCGUGGGGAGCAAACAGG
rnacentral:rRNA from 1 species